GCCAGCCUGGUCUACAGAGUGAGUUCCAGGGCAGCCAGGGCUACACAGAGAAACCCUGUCUCGAAACAAACAAACAAACAAACAAACAAACAUCACAAUCGGAUAAGAGAUUUAAAAAGGAAGCCCCGCCUCUCCCUUCUUGUAAACAUAGUUUUCAUGUCGUCAACAAUAUGACAGGAAAGCCCUAAAUAUAAGUGAUUGUGGUAGGUAAGAAGUUCUCUGAAUUAUGCAGAAACUGAAGUAUCCCAGCGUCCAUUACGUUAGUUAGAUCUAGAAGAUAUCUUCGGAAAGGUACAGCUUUAUUUUCUAUUUAUAAAGUCUUAGAUUUGAUUGCUUUUGCCCCACUAUCGUUACAAGGUUUACAGAUACUAGUCAUGUAGCAUAUAGAGAAAAAGAUCCUGAAAGAGAAUAUAUGCUCAGUGGUUAACAGUAGCUGCAUUUCCAUGAUUAUGAAUAUGAGGAAGAAUUGUUUCUCAACUCCAUUCACCCAUCUUUAACAAAAUGAGUAUGUAUAAAUCUAUAAAGAGAAAAAAAAUUUUUUUUGUUUGUUUGUUUUUUCGAGACAGGGUUUCUCUGUAUAGCGCUGGCUGUCCUGGAGCUCACUUUGUAGACCAGGCUGGCCUCGAACUCAGAAAUCCGUCUGCCUCUGCCUCCUGAGUGCUGGGAUUAAAGGUGUGCGCCACCACGCCCUGCGAGAAAACUUUUUUUAAGGUAUGGCGGUUCAGGUGAGAAUGUUCCCACAUGACCAGAUAUUUGAACUCUUGGUCCCAAGUUGGUGGUGCUCUCUGGGACAAGAGGGUGGGGUGGGACGAGGACGACAGGGUGGGUGGCAGUCCUCCCUCCACUUCCUGUUCUCUCUCCCCUGCUUGUUAUUGACGUGCUGGGGGGGGAGGGUUAGAGGAGGGGGAGCGGUCCUCCCUCCACUUCCUGUUAGUUCUCUCUCCCCUGCUUGCCUUUGGCAAACAGGUUUCUCAGCUUCUCCCUCAGCCACUCUGAUGUCCUGCUGAGAUGCCUUUCCACCACCAUAGGCUCGCAGCCUCUGAAAGCCCGUGGCUUGAUAAUUAACCUGAGGGAAUGACCAAGAUUAGAUUUUUGUGCUCCCAGCAUGUGCCAGUAGUUGGAGGCAGGAGAUGAGUGCCAAAUUAUCCCAAAUUGAAAUUUACAGCACAUAAGUCAGAAGCAGCCAAAUUAAGCCUGGCUUUGGAAACCUUCCAGUCUUAUACGUUGAAGAACCAGAAACAAAAGAAAAAAAGAAAUACAGAUACAAGGCAAAAACUACCAAUUCUAUGAGAAUAGCACUAGGCCAGGCGUGGUGGCCUUUAAUCCCAGCACUCCGGAGGCAGAGGCAAGCGGAUUUCUGAGUUCGAGGCCAGCCUGGUCUACAAAGUGAGUUCCAGGACAGCCAGGGCUGUAGUCCCCCCUCCCCCAGCCUGAAACCUGCUUGCUCAGGGGUGGAGCUUCCUGCUCAUUCGUUCUGCCACGCCCACUGCUGGACCUUGCAGCUUUGCUGUUUGGAGCCACAUCGUGCUCACCCUGCUACUGGAUUCCGAGAUUAUUUGGCGGGAAUCGGGUCCCCUCCCCCUUCCUUCAUAACUGAGUGUCGCAACAGUAAAAUUGAGCUUUGAUCAGAGU
rnacentral:lncRNA from 1 species